rnacentral:rRNA from 1 species
CCAUGCAGUCGACGAUGAAGCCCUUCGGGGUGGAUUAGUGGCGAACGGGUGAGUAACACGUGGGCAAUCUGCCCUGCACUCUGGGACAAGCCCUGGAAACGGGGUCUAAUACCGGAUGAUACCUGCCGAGGCAUCUCGGUGGGUUGAAAGCUCCGGCGGUGCAGGAUGAGCCCGCGGCCUAUCAGCUUGUUGGUGAGGUAGUGGCUCACCAAGGCGACGACGGGUAGCCGGCCUGAGAGGGCGACCGGCCACACUGGGACUGAGACACGGCCCAGACUCCUACGGGAGGCAGCAGUGGGGAAUAUUGCACAAUGGGCGCAAGCCUGAUGCAGCGACGCCGCGUGAGGGAUGACGGCCUUCGGGUUGUAAACCUCUUUCAGCAGGGAAGAAGCGCAAGUGACGGUACCUGCAGAAGAAGCGCCGGCUAACUACGUGCCAGCAGCCGCGGUAAUACGUAGGGCGCAAGCGUUGUCCGGAAUUAUUGGGCGUAAAGAGCUCGUAGGCGGUCUGUCGCGUCGGAUGUGAAAGCCCGGGGCUUAACCCCGGGUCUGCAUUCGAUACGGGCAGACUAGAGUGUGGUAGGGGAGAUCGGAAUUCCUGGUGUAGCGGUGAAAUGCGCAGAUAUCAGGAGGAACACCGGUGGCGAAGGCGGAUCUCUGGGCCAUUACUGACGCUGAGGAGCGAAAGCGUGGGGAGCGAACAGGAUUA